rnacentral:rRNA from 1 species
UACGAAGGGUGCAAGCGUUACUCGGAAUUACUGGGCGUAAAGCGUGCGUAGGUGGUGAGUUAAGUCUGAUGUGAAAUCUCCGGGCUCAACCUGGGAAUGGCAUUGGAUACUGGCUCGCUAGAGUGCGGUAGAGGGUGGUGGAAUUCCCGGUGUAGCAGUGAAAUGCGUAGAGAUCGGGAGGAACAUCUGUGGCGAAGGCGGCCACCUGGACCAACACUGACACUGAGGCACGAAAGCGUGGGGAGCAAACAGG